CCUACGGGUGGCAGCAGUGGGGAAUAUUGCGCAAUGGGCGCAAGCCUGACGCAGCAACGCCGCGUGAAGGAAGAAGGCUUUCGGCUUGUAAACUUCUUUUCUCAGGGACGAAGCAAGUGACGGUACCUGAGUAAUAAGCCACGGCUAACUACGUGCCAGCCGCCGCGGUAAUACGUAGGUGGCAAGCGUUAUCCGGAUUUACUGGGUGUAAAGGGCGUGUAGGCGGGGGCGCAAGUCAGAUGUGAAAACCACGGGCUCAACCUGUGGCCUGCAUUUGAAACUGUGUAUCUUGAGUACUGGAGAGGAAGACGGAAUUCCUAGUGUAGCGGUGAAAUGCGUAGAUAUUAGGAGGAACACCAGUGGCGAAGGCGGUCUGCUGGACAGAAACUGACGCUGAGGCGCGAAAGCGUGGGGAGCAAACAGGAUUAGAUACCCGUGUAGUC
rnacentral:rRNA from 1 species